GACGCUGGAGGUGGUUCCUGUCCCCAUGUGAUGGCUCUUGUUCCUCUUGGUGGCCCUCAUCCUCGUUCUUGUUCCUCCUGGUGGCCCUCAUCCUCAUUCUUGUCCCUCCUGGUGGCCCUCGGCCUCCCUCGGGGACGCUGGGGACCUGUCCCUGUCCCCACCCGCUGCCCCCGUCCCUCGUGGUGGCCCUUGUCCUCUCUCGGGGACAGCGGAGCUGGUUCGUGUCACUAUAAAGCUCCUUUGUCCCCCGUGACGUCCCUUGGCUCCUUCUUGGGCGCGUUGGGGACACCGGGGCCCCUUCUCGGGGAUGCCGGCGUGUCCCUUGUCCCCCCCCGGGGACAACGGGGUGUCCCUGGUGCCUCCUGGGGACGCCGAGGCUCCGUCUUGGGGACGCGGCGGUGUCCUGGUGCCCCUUGGGGACACCAAGACCCACCCUUGGGGACACGGAGGUGUCCUGGUGCCCCUUUGGGGACACUGGGGCUGGCUCUGGGGACAUUGGGGUGUCACCAUGUCCCUUGGGGACGUGGGAUGUCCCCAUGCCUCAUGGGGACACUGGGGCUGGUUCUGGGGACGUGGGGGUGUCCCCAUGCCCCUUGGGGACACCAAGGGACACCCUUGGGGACCUCGGGGUGGCUCUUGUUCCUCCUGGGGCCACCAACCUCCCCUCUUGGGGACACGGG
rnacentral:lncRNA from 1 species